AUUGAACGCUGGCGGCAGGCCUAACACAUGCAAGUCGAGCGCGCGGCGGACGGGUGAGUAAUGUCUGGGAAACUGCCUGAUGUAGGGGGAUAACUCUUGGAAACGGUAUCUAAUACCGCAUACCCUCAAAUGUGCCCAGAUGGGAUUAGCUGGUAGGUGGGGUAACGGCUCACCUAGGCGACGCUCCCUCGCUGGUCUGAGAGGAUGACCAGCCACACUGGAACUGAGACACGGUCCAGACUCCUACGGGAGGCAGCAGUGGGGAAUAUUGCGCAAUGGGCGCAAGCCUGAUGCAGCCAUGCCGCGUGAGUGAAGAAGGCCUUCGGGUUGUAAAGCACUUUCGGCGGGGAGGCGUUACCCGCAGAAGAAGCACCGGCUAACUCCGUGCCAGCAGCCGCGGUAAUAC
rnacentral:rRNA from 1 species